AUUGAACGCUGGCGGCAGGCCUAACACAUGCAAGUCGAACGAGUGGCGGACGGGUGAGUAAUGUCUGGGAAACUGCCUGAUGGAGGGGGAUAACUACUGGAAACGGUAGCUAAUACCGCAUACCAUCGGAUGUGCCCAGAUGGGAUUAGCUUGUUGGUGGGGUAACGGCUCACCAAGGCGACGAUCCCUAGCUGGUCUGAGAGGAUGACGAGCCACAUUGGAAUGGAGACACGGUCCAGACGCCUACGGGAGGCAGAAGUGGAGAAUAUUGCACAAUGGGCGAAAGCCUGAGGCAGCCAUGCCGGGUGUAUGAAGAAGGCCUUCGGGUUGUAAAGUACUUUCAGCGGGGAGGCGUUACCCGCAGAAGAAGCACCGGCUAAAUCCGUGCCAGCAGCCGCGGUAAUAC
rnacentral:rRNA from 1 species